rnacentral:rRNA from 1 species
UACGUAGGGGGCUAGCGUUGUCCGGAAUCAUUGGGCGUAAAGAGCGCGCAGGCGGUCGUUCAAGUCGCGUGUGAAAGCCCCCGGCUCAACUGGGGAGGGUCACGCGAUACUGAUCGACUCGAAGGCAGGAGAGGGUAGUGGAAUUCCCGGUGUAGUGGUGAAAUGCGUAGAUAUCGGGAGGAACACCAGUGGCGAAGGCGACUACCUGGCUUGUUCUUGACGCUGAGGCGCGAAAGCUAGGGGAGCAAACGGG